AGAGUUUGAUCCUGGCUCAGAGUGAACGCUGGCGGCAGGCCUAACACAUGCAAGUCGAACGGCAGCACAGCAGUAGCGAUACUGUGGGUGGCGAGUGGCGGACGGGUGAGGAAUACAUGGGAAUCUGCCCUGUCGUGGGGGAUAACGUAGGGAAACUUACGCUAAUACCGCAUACGACCGGAAGGUGAAAGCGGCGGACCGCAAGGCGUCGCGCGACUGGAUGAGCCCAUGUCGGAUUAGCUAGUUGGCGGGGUAAAGGCCCACCAAGGCGACGAUCCGUAGCUGGUCUGAGAGGAUGAUCAGCCACACUGGAACUGAGACACGGUCCAGACUCCUACGGGAGGCAGCAGUGGGGAAUAUUGGACAAUGGGCGCAAGCCUGAUCCAGCCAUGCCGCGUGAGUGAAGAAGGCCUUCGGGUUGUAAAGCUCUUUUGUCCGGAAAGAAAAGCCUUCGGUUAAUACCCGGGGGUUCUGACGGUACCGGAAGAAUAAGCACCGGCUAACUUCGUGCCAGCAGCCGCGGUAAUACGAAGGGUGCAAGCGUUACUCGGAAUUACUGGGCGUAAAGCGUGCGUAGGUGGUUCGUUAAGUCUGAUGUGAAAGCCCUGGGCUCAACCUGGGAAUGGCAUUGGAAACUGGCGACCUAGAGUGCGGUAGAGGGCAGUGGAAUUCCCGGUGUAGCAGUGAAAUGCGUAGAGAUCGGGAGGAACAUCUGUGGCGAAGGCGACUGCCUGGACCAGCACUGACACUGAGGCACGAAAGCGUGGGGAGCAAACAGGAUUAGAUACCCUGGUAGUCCACGCCCUAAACGAUGCGAACUGGAUGUUGGGUGCAACUAGGCACUCAGUAUCGAAGCUAACGCGUUAAGUUCGCCGCCUGGGGAGUACGGUCGCAAGACUGAAACUCAAAGGAAUUGACGG
rnacentral:rRNA from 1 species